GGGGAAUAUUGGACAAUGGGCGCAAGCCUGAUCCAGCAAUGCCGCGUGAGUGAAGAAGGCCUUCGGGUUGUAAAGCUCUUUUACCCGGGAAGAUAAUGACUGUACCGGGAGAAUAAGCCCCGGCUAACUCAGUGCCAGCAGCCGCGGUAAUACGGAGGGGGCUAGCGUUGUUCGGAAUUACUGGGCGUAAAGCGUGCGUAGGCGGCUUGGUAAGUUAGAGGUGAAAGCCCGGGGCUCAACCCCGGAAUAGCCUUUAAGACUGCUUCGCUUGAACGUCGGAGAGGUGAGUGGAAUUCCGAGUGUAGAGGUGAAAUUCGUAGAUAUUCGGAAGAACACCAGUGGCGAAGGCGGCUCACUGGACGACUGUUGACGCUGAGGUGCGAAAGCGUGGGGAGCAAA
rnacentral:rRNA from 1 species